rnacentral:rRNA from 1 species
GAUGAACGCUGGCGGCGUGCCUAAUACAUGCAAGUCGAGCGAACGGACGAGAAGCUUGCUUCUCUGAUGUUAGCGGCGGACGGGUGAGUAACACGUGGAUAACCUACCUAUAAGACUGGGAUAACUUCGGGAAACCGGAGCUAAUACCGGAUAAUAUUUUGAACCGCAUGGUUCAAAAGUGAAAGACGGUCUUGCUGUCACUUAUAGAUGGAUCCGCGCUGCAUUAGCUAGUUGGUAAGGUAACGGCUUACCAAGGCAACGAUGCAUAGCCGACCUGAGAGGGGGGUCCGCCACCACUGAACUGGAGCCCGGUCCCAGCCCCUGCGGGAGGCAAGAAGGGGGAAUUCUCCACAAUGGGGGGAAACCUUGCGGGACCACCGCGGGGGGAGUGAGAAGGUCUUGCGGUUCUAAAACCGUUUUUAUGGGGAAAAAACAGAUGUGAAAGUAAUGGUGCCCUUCUGGAGGUACCCAAUCAAGAAAGCACCGCCAACCUCCGU